UGAAUGCUGUAAAUUUAAAGGAAAUGAGAUCUAUUGAUCUCUUACAGUUUGACUAGAAGAAAAUGGUCUUUUCAGAUGUCUUAUGUACAAAAAUAAAAAUCUUAUAAAAAGGACAUAAAACUAAAAAAAGCUUGUAAAGGGAUAGAAAACCAUUUCUCCUGUGAAUUUCCAGUUCAUUAGACAUACAAUUUUUCCUAUAUGAUUAAAAGGAACUAUUAUGUUCCGAUAGGUUAAUAUUCCGGCUUGGAAGAGAUCCAAGGUGAUUAGUUUUUCACAAAAUACUCUCUCUCCCCUCAAUUGUUGUUUGUUGUGAGUUUCCAUCUCCAUUGUCACUUGGAUUAAGUUCAUCUGCAACACCUUUGAUGGAUCUUAUUCUGCAGGCUUGCACUAAAGCUUCCCCAUAUGAGGGACCUUUCAGGGCUGAUUCUCCAUCAUGGUGUUGGGCUCCUUUUGAACCUGAAGGGAUUCUGAGGUGAAAUUCCAUAUAUCUUUUUUCCUUGAAGUCAUGCCUGCACGCGUGAUAUUACAAUAGGGCUACAGCUCAAUUUCUGCUAUUCUCUCUAUGGUCCUUGGAGUUCAUUUUGGACAUGUCCUUAUUCAUAUGAAGGAUAACUCAUCCAAACUUUUGCAUUGGGUUGGCAUGGGCAUAGCUCUUUUGGUUUUAGGAAUUAUUCUCCACUUCACAGAUGGUGCUGAAUGCAGCUAUUCCUUUAAAUAAGCAACUAUACACCGUCAGCUAUGUCUGUGUAACCUCAGGAGCAGCCGCGUUAGUAUUCCCUGCUUUCUACAUUCUGGUACAGUGGUCUUGUCCAAAAAUCUGGUCACUUCUUUUUUGUUCCUUGCUGCAAGUUGAACCGAUCAAUUUGGUACAUUAAAUUUGGAAGCUCUAGACCUUUACGAUUAAAUCAGACUUCCCUCUGAAAUGCCAAGGCAUUCAUUAGAAACAAGAAAAGCAAGGGUCAAGUAGAUGGAAAGUGUCCCAAGCUUUCUGGCUUCAAGUCUUAUUUUUUCAUCAAUCAGUUUGGAUGGUAUGUAGCGGGAGAAUGAGAAUGUAUCUGGAAUUUUGAAGAAUGUGUCUUUUUUAGCAAGAAAUGCUUUGAAUGACAACAUUCUGAUGCACGAUCACCAUUGCAAGAUUCAUAAAUUUCUUAUU